rnacentral:rRNA from 1 species
CACGGGGUUGCGAGCGUUGUCCGGAAUUACUAGGCGUAAAGGGCAGGCAGGCGGAUCCGUAAGUUUAUCGUUUAAGGCGUCGGCUUAACCGGGCGUAGGGCGGUAGAUACUGUGGAUCUGGAAUGCGGUUAGGGAAGACAGAAUUCCUGGUGUAGCGGUGGAAUGCGCAGAGAUCAGGAGGAAUACCGAAGGCGAAGGCAGUCUUCCAAGCCGUUAUUGACGCUCAACUGCGAAGGUGUGGGUAUCAAACAGGAUUAGAUACCCUGGUAGUCCCUGAG